UUUUGCUUCUUUUAGUGACCCCCCCCACACACAUACACACACUUAAACUUAAUCCCAUAAGCACCUUGAACGGAAUCACACAACUCAAGGUUACCAAGCUACGUCAAGUAAAUAGGUAUUCGAAGGGGUCUCUUUUCCUGUCAUAUUUUUCUCCCUUUCCCUUUCUUGCUUUGCCUCUCUCUGCUACCCAGGAUCAAUACAGAAUACAGAGUAUCUUUUCUAAUGCACAUGUGUAAAUAAAUCUCUCAUUCCUGCUGUCUUAUAAAUAAGAGGUCUCUCUGUUCAAGGGGCAUGUUAAAAAAAAAUAACUGUCCUGAAACUUAAUAUCUGAAACCUAAAUCAUGUUUCACCUGCACUGCUUGGGAAUGGAGAAUCCAUUAGUUAAACCAUACAGCCAUGUAUUUAUGUACCCACACAUCUGGCACGCAGACACACACACACACACACACACACACACACACACACACAGAUACUCACACACCCAUGGUGGGAUGGGACAUGGGAGACAGACAAAGACAGGCAGAGAUAAUUUGGAUUUUGUAGCAGGAAUUACUUGUCUAAAUUAGAAUAUUACUCUUUCCAAGCCUGGUAAAGCAUAACAAUGUUUUCUCCACCGACUUGAAUUUGUUUACCCAGAAGGCAGGUGCACUUCAACGCACUGUGCUUCCUUUGCUCUGUCCUCCCAUGACCAGAUCAGAACAGGGGAGUGGGGUUGGGGGAGCACGGGUCGCUGAUUUCUGAUAAAACAGAUUCUCAUACACUGUGUGUUCAUGCACAGAGUGGAAUGUGUGGUUAGCAUUCAUGUGCCCCAUGCAUCGCUCAUUCUCUGUGCAGAUUGAUAACAUGCUUUGGCACGCCUGAUGAAUUACUUAAUAAAGAUCUUAGACUGGUGCAAAGGCUGUGUACAUCCCUCUGUUCUCUGUAGUGUCGACCCUGCUUCCCCAAAAUGAAAAUUGGUGCCUCCUGUAAUUCACGGAAAAAAAUGGUUAUAGGGCUUUUAGCAGCACUCAGAGCAGCUACAUCUGAAGAGACAGUCACUUCUACACACAGCACAGACUGCCUUUGUGCAGAAUGUAUUUCCCGUCUUAAAUGCACCGUUGUUGAUGUUAAAUGAGUCAGGUUGAAUAUGUCAUCUAAUGUCAUCUAGCUAAACAUUAAAUUAUCCAUCAGAGUUAAUAGAAA
rnacentral:lncRNA from 1 species